AUGCUGAGAGGGGAAGGAAUGGACUACAGUGAGCUCGUUCCAGUUCCUUUGCUCAUCACCAGCCCAUUUCACUCCUCACCUGCUCAGAAAGCCAAUAAGCCAGCAAACCCACGGGCCAGCGCCGUGGAUCUGCCAGCCACUGGGGCCCCUGCCCGUGAACCAGAGCAGCGACAGGCUGUGGAGAAACUGGAUUGUUCGAAAGUAUUGAGAUGUCGGCUGCCGCCUUCUUUAUCGUGUCACUGGCUCCACGUUGCAUGGUUCAAUGCCAUCAAGGACGUGCGUCAUCCUUCCUCGGGGACCAAUCUGGGGACGUGGCACGGGGAGCUGGAAAGCACGUUGGGAAACAGGGCUUGCGACAAUUCUCCAAGUCAACGCUGGGCUAAAGCAGCCUAUCCCAGCGGGCUGGCACUCGCCAUCGGGUUUCCUUGCACUCCAGUCAGCCGGAUGGACAGCCCUACUCAGAGACAGCCCCACAGCCCCUGCUGCUCUCCAGCCAGGAUGUCGUCACGGUACGAUUCUGACUCCAUCAAAACACAUCUGAUUCCUACUGGAGCAAGUUCUCAGACCCAGACGCCGGGUCUGAGGUCACAGACACUCUAA
rnacentral:lncRNA from 1 species